UGUUAUACUUUACUGAAAAUUAGAUAUGCUUGAGUAGUAAUCGGUUAUGUUCUUGAAACUUAAAGGAUUUGGCGGUAUUUUAGUCUAGUUAGGGGAACCUGUUUUAUAAACGAUAAACCACGAAGUAUCUUACCUUUCUUGGUUAAGUCAGUAUGUAUACCGUCAUUAUUAGAUGGUCUUUAUAAAGAACUAUUAAAAUAGUUUUUACUAAAAUAUUAGAUCAAGGUGCAGCGGAUGGAGAGGAAAAUAAUGGGUUACAAUAUCGUUAAGAUAUACGGAUAUAUGAYUGAAUGUUGUGUAGGAAGGUGGACUUAAGUGUAAUUAUGUUUUAAUAAGGUAUAAUGUAUUAGCUCUAUAAUAU
rnacentral:rRNA from 1 species